UAAUACGAAGGUUGCAAGCGUUGUUCGGUGUCACUGGGCUUAAAGCGUAUGUAGGCGGAAAGGUAAGCGUCUUGUGAAAUCCCUCGGCUUAACCGAGGAAUUGCUGGGCGAACUACCUUUCUUGAGGCAAGUAGGGGUGCAUGGAACUCUUGGUGGAGCGGUGGAAUGCGUAGAUAUCAAGAGGAACGCCAAUGGAGAAAUCAGUGCACUGGGCUUGUCCUGACGCUCAGAUACGAAAGCGUGGGUAGCGAACGGGAUUAGAUACCCCGGUAGUCCACGCCGUAACCGAUGUCUACUAGGUUGCGGGGGUUCUGACACAGUCGCGACCGAAGCAAAAGUGUUAAGUAGACCGCCUGGGGAGUACGGCCGCAAGGCUA
rnacentral:rRNA from 1 species